rnacentral:rRNA from 1 species
GCGGUAAUACCAGCUCUCCGAGUGGUGGGGACGAUUAUUGGGCUUAAAGCGUUCGUAGCCGGCUUAACAAGUCUUCCGUUAAAUCCAACGAUCUAAUCGUUGGGCCGCGGGAGAUACUGUUGGGCUAGGAGGCGGGAGAAGCCGACGGUAUUCUCGGGGUAGGGGUGAAAUCCUGUAAUCCCGG